GCCAAUCUACCCUUGGGAUCAGGAUAACCCCGGGAAACUGGGGAUAAUCCUGAAUAGACGGGGAUUCUGGAAACGUCCCUCGUUGAAACGUUCUGGCGCCCAAGGAUGAGGCUGCGGCCUAUUAGGUAGUUGGUGAGGUAAAGGCUCACCAAGCCACAGAUGGGUACGGGCCCUGAGAGGGGGAGCCUGGAGAUGGGGACUGAGACAAGGCCCCAGGCCCUACGGGGCGCAGCAGGUGCGAAAAUUCCGCAAUGCGUGCAAGCGCGACGGAGUGACUCCUAGUGCCGGUGGUCUAGCGACCGUCGGCUUUUUUGGAAUGUAAAAAGUUCCAAGAAUAAGGGCUGGGUAAGACUGGUGCCAGCCGCCGCGGUAACACCAGCAGCUCAAGUGGUAGCCGCUUUUAUUGGGCCUAAAGCGUCCGUAGCCGGACCGGCAAGUCCCUUGUGAAAUCGGGCGGCUUUACCGUUCGGCUUGCAAGGGAAACUGUUGGUCUUGGGGCCGAUAGGCGCCGAGGGUACUCCAGGGGUAGCGGUGAAAUGCUAUAAUCCCUGGGGGACCGCCAGUGGCGAAAGCGCUUGGCGAGGCCGAAUCCGACGGUGAGGGACGAAGGCCAGGGGCGCGAACCGGAUUAGAUACCCGGGUAGUCCUGGCUGUAAAGGAUGUGGACUAGGUGCUUGGUGUUCCUCGAGAACACUAGGUGCCGAAAGGGAAGCCGUUAAGUCCACCGCCUGGGAAGUACGGUCGCAAGGCUGAAACUUAAAGAAAUUGGCGGGGG
rnacentral:rRNA from 1 species